UUGCUUGCUGAAGAAGCCAAAGUACACACCGAUGAGAACGCUGACGAGCAGCAGCAGCCCAAAGAGCGUGUAAUCAAGCCAUCCGAACACGAAAUGAUUCAAAUUCUCCGUUUGGUCAAACGGGAUGCUGGUGUGAUGGGUAAGCAAAAGCGGCAGCGGCAAAAGCCUCACAAGGAAAAUCCCACUGGAUUGCCGUCCGUCAAGGAGUUCGAAUUGAACGAGCAGUUUGCGAAAGGAGAGAAGGAAAAGAUUUUGCAGAAUGUUUACGAUGAUAUACAAUCGAGUAAUCUCGAGGAAAAAUUAUCUGCCCUGCAAAUACUGGCAUCAAUGUCUUGCGACUUUUCUAUGGCCAAACAAAUUGCUAAAGAUGGAAUAGCAAAAAUCAUUGGUCCACUUUUGAUUCAUCAUAACGCUGCUAUACGAGCAAAUACUGCAUACACCUUGCGUGAAAUUGCUGAAAAUGGUAGGGAAGAAGUGUGUAAUGAUUUAAUCAAAGAUGAUAUUAUAACUCCGCUUGCUGCAUUACUGAGACAGUACUAUUUGGAUUGGAAACCAAAAGAAGUUGGAGAUGAAAAAGUGACAUUUAUUCGAGCAGUUAGCUUGUUGUGGAUAUUAUGUGCAAAUAAUGAAAGGGCAAUCAAGCGAGCUAAUGAGGAAGAUUUGGUAUUAUUCUUGAUAAAAUUUUUAGAUGUUAAUAUUUAUGGAAUAGAGAUUGUUACGAUCGUAACUCGAUCCAUGAUAUGCUUAUCGGAUGAGAACGAUGCUGCCAUUAAUAAAAUUAAACAAAGUGAAUCAGUUUUGUUUAGUUUACUGGAUUUAAAAGCAGACGGUGAGGCUGCUUUUAAAGUAUUGUCGUUAAAAACUUGUGUAGCUGAUAUAUUAAUCAAUAUCAGUAAUUAUACUGACAAUAACCAGAUGCAUAUAUUUCAUAAAGUGUUAAUGGUAUUGUCUGACGUACUUGCAAUCGAUCAUCUACAAACGCUGUCUCAUUUAAUAUCUAUCCUGCCGCAUGAAAGCAAUGCUUCGAACGAUAAGAGAAAAAAAAUACAGGAAAGUAUAAAAAUAUUGGAAGUGCAAGAACAAGCUUUACAGAUUUUAGCAAACUUAUGUUUUGAACAUGAGGACAAUGCAACUGAUUCUGACACCGACGAUUUUGAAACAAUGGAGCUAGAGUCUGAAAAUUUCGAUGAUAAUUCUAUGAAUGAAGAUUUGAAAAUGUCGACGCUUCCAAUGGAACUAGUUGAAAUUAUAAACAGCUGUAACUUGAUUGAUAAAAUUUGGGAAAAAGCUAAAUUUGUAGUGGAUGAAAGCAACCAGGAAAUCCUGGAUCAAACCGAAGAGGGAAAAGCAACAUUGAAACAAUUUCGCGACAUUCAGUGUGCAGCUUUUUUAUGUUUAAACAAUUUAUUACCUAGCAUAGAGAUCGAUGUUUUUGGAGGCGUUGAUAAUUUAUUUGGGAAAUGGAUGGAGAUUGCAACAGAGUUUAAAUACGUUAUCAGGAAGGAUGAUGAGAAAUCAGAUGCGAAUAUUACAGAAGCGGGUACUGCUGCUAUGAGAGCUAUUCUUCAACGUUUAGUCGAAGUACGGGCAAAUGUCGUCGAAUUAAAUCAAUUAACUUGUAACGAUAUCCAACCGAUGUUAAAUGAAGUGAAUCAAUGUAUCAAUACGAAUGUCCGCGUUAAUAUGAUAAGGAUGCUCUGUAAUUUAGUACUGAUUAUGUUAAAUAACAAAGAUUCAAAAAAUUAUGAAAUGAUAAAGAUAUUUCCAAAACUGAAACUCAUGUAUGGGUGAUAGCAGAAUCUCUAGAUGCAAUAAUGGAUAUUUAUGCAGAAGAUGAAACCGAUCAUCUAGCAGCAGAUAUUAAAUUAGUCCAGAGAUUGCUAUCUGUAAUGCCACAUUUCAAAAAUAAGAUGCAUCAGCAGAAGAAACAUUUACAAGAUGGCACAGUCAUAGUAUCAACUGUGAACGCAAAUUUAAUGAGGUUUAUAAAAUAUAAACAAAAGCGUCUAGGAAUUAAACCAAAAUAAACGUUAUGAAACAAUUGUUUUUAUUCGACAAUUGUUUUGUUUCGAAUUACAGACAUUAUGAAUGAAAAUAUUUCUACAAUAAAUAACUUGUAAAAUACUUUUGAAAA
rnacentral:misc_RNA from 1 species